AUAAACAUUAAAAAAAAUAUGAACUUUUUUUUAAAAUUAUGCUGUUAUCCCUAAGGUAAUUUAAUUUUUCUUUUUUUAAAAAAAGAUCAAUUAAAACAUAAAUUUAUGAAUUUUAUAAUAAAAGUUUAAUAAAUUUUAAAAUCUCCCCAACUAAAUUAAAAUAAAUAUAAAAUAUAUUUUUAUAUAAGUUAUUAAUAAAAUUCUAUAGGGUCUUCUCGUCUAAUUUAAUAAAUUAAGCUUUUUAACUUAAAAAUAAAUUUCAAAUUUUAAAAAUAAAAAAGUUAUUAUUUCAUUAUAUCAUUCAUUCCAGAUUCAAAUUAAAAAC
rnacentral:rRNA from 1 species